rnacentral:rRNA from 1 species
CUUCGGCCCGAGUUGUAAUUUGCAGAGGAUGUUUAUGGUGCGGUACUUACCGAGUUCCCUGGAACGGGACGCCACAGAGGGUGAGAGCCCCGUCUGGUAGAAUACUAAACCUGUGUUAAACUCCUUCAACGAGUCGAGUAGUUUGGGAAUGCUGCUCUAAAUGGGAGGUAAAUCUCUUCUAAAGCUAAAUACUGGCCAGAGACCGAUAGCGCACAAGUAGAGUGAUCGAAAGAUGAAAAGCACCUUGAAAAGGGGGUUAAACAGUACGUGAAAUUGUUGAAAGGGAAGCGUUUAUGACCAGACUUGUGCCGUGUGGCUCAUCCGAGGUUCUCCCCGGUGCACUCCACGCGGCUCAGGCCAACAUCGGUUUUUGUUGGGGAAUAAGAAUAGUAGGAACGUGGCUCUCUUUGGGGAGUGUUAUAGCCUAUUAUACGAUACCCUGACGGGGACCGAGGACC